ensembl:lncRNA
UGCGAAUCAAAGAUGGUGGCUUGCAUAACAACGAUCGUGUCAAAUUGUAUUUUCUUAUACAUUUCUUGCGUAAUUGAUCCAAAAGCUGUCUUAAACGCAUGUCUCCAACACGACUGCGUUAUAAAGGUAACGUUACCGUUAGGCUUUCCUAACUGAGGACCUGGCUGCUGGGUAAUGUUGACAGUUUAAUUUGUAUACCAUCCUUUAUUUUAACGCGUAGGCCUACCAUUAAUUGUGUUGGUUGGCUAAGCCACACUUCCAUUGCAAAGUGCACAGCUUUCUGCACCAGCCUGAAUAAUUCUAGUUAUGUAGGGUGUCAAAUCCGAUCCAAAAGUCGAACGAGCACUAGAUGGGGCGCGCGAGCUAGAUUAAAUAUUGCUCGAGAAGAAAUGUGGUCGAGCGAGCAGAGGACGGGUUCAGGGAGCGUAGACCGGUGUGGUGCGCACAUAUUACAGUUGAGAGUUUACGAGUGAGUGAGCAGAACUUCAUUCCCGUACGUAUUAAAUUAAAUCGAGUUUUUUUUUUUUGAUAACCUGAAGAAAUAUUUUCUACAUAUCGAGAUUCAGAAAUUACUGCACUCACAAAUACGGGGGACUACCAACUAAUUUUAUGCCUUAAUUAAACAACUCUGCACAUAUGUAUCGCUCCACCUUCCUCAAUCUCCAUUGUCAUACUUUUGUUUACCUUUUUACCAAUGUCUAUGGAUUGUACAAGGAUUUUAAUUUGGGAGUUAAUGUAAAAAGCUGAGGGAUGGGGCUGGGGACAUGUAACCGCUCUCAAAUUCAUAGACCGUGUUAUGGAUGCAAGGACUGACCAUCCGCCGCCUCCUUAAACCCCCAUAAGAGAUGACCCAAAGUUCCUUGCCUAAGACCUCCAAUGAGUUUUGAAAAGGAAGUGAAGAGUUGAGCAAAGAUACAUUGGGACAGGGCUUAUGUCAAAUGAUACAGUAAGUGCAAACAGAAUAAAUGUAAAUCUUUGUUCUACUUUGUGCUCUUUCCUCAGAUUGCUCUGGCUUGCUGAUAACAUCUGCUCUGAUGAGACUCCCUGUGCAAUUUGACUCUAUUACUGACUAUUCAAUAAAACGUCCAUUGUCAACUAUAAAUAAUUUUAGAUUCUGUAAUUGAUCGAUAAUAGUAGUUCUCAAUCAGACAAUUACUAUUUUAAAUCUGUUUUCCUCAGUGCAAUGUUUGGAGAAUGCAUGGUGUUUUUGUUCUCAGCCCUCCUUUGAAUGCUGUGUGUACAGAUUCUGUUCUAAAUGACCGAGUCCAUCCUCACCACCUCCAUCACUGCAACGGAUUGUCUGGUCUGCUGAGAGGGUCAUUGGUUGUCCUGCACGAAUCGAAGGCAAAGAAGUAUGCUGGGAAGUUCAUUGCCGACCCCUUUCACCCCCUCUUCCAAAUAUUCCCCUCUGGCAAAACCUCCUGCCACAGAACAGUUUCUUCCCCUUUGUCAUUGGCCCUCACCAACCUUCCACCUGGUCCUCUCAUCCAUGGACUUUGCACCUUACACUCCUAUUAUAUGCAUCAUUUAGCAUAUGUUUACAUUUUAGCCAUUUAGCUGACACUCACAUCCAGAGCGACAUACAGGUAGCAAAUAGGGUAAAGUGCCUCGCCAAAGUGCACAUCGACAGAUUUUUCACAGUCUGCUCGAGAUUUGAACCAGCGACCUGGAAGAACAGCCCAAUGCUCUUAACCUGUAGGCUACCUGCAGUUUAAAGUGUACAUACUGUAUGUGGAUAUUUUCUUUUUGUUUGUAUAUUCUGUUUGUGGCAGCACCAUUUCAGUAAAGUUCCUGAACAUGCAAAUGUAUUUGUUGAAUAAAG